CGGCUCGUAGCUCAAUGGGCAGAGUACGCGAUUCUUAAUCGCGGGGUUGUGGGUUCGAAGCCCACCGGGCCGACGA
rnacentral:tRNA from 1 species